CGUAAACGAUGAGUGCUAAGUGUUGGAGGUUUCCCCUUCAGUGCUGCAGCUAACGCAUUAAGCACUCCGCCUGGGGAGUACGACCGCAAGGUUGAAACUCAAAGGAAUUGACGGGGGCCCGCACAAGCGGUGGAGCAUGUGGUUUAAUUCGAAGCAACGCGAAGAACCUUACCAGGUCUUGACAUCCUUUGACCACUCUAGAGAUAGAGCUUUCCCUUCGGGGACAAAGUGACAGGUGGUGCAUGGUUGUCGUCAGCUCGUGUCGUGAGAUGUUGGGUUAAGUCCCGCAACGAGCGCAACCCUUAUUGUUAGUUGCCAUCAUUCAGUUGGGCACUCUAGAGAGACUGCCGGUGACAAACCGGAGGAAGGUGGGGAUGACGUCAAAUCAUCAUGCCCCUUAUGACCUGGGCUACACACGUGCUACAAUGGGAAGUACAACGAGUCGCUAGGCCGCGAGGUCAUGCAAAUCUCUUAAAGCUUCUCUCAGUUCGGAUUGCAGGCUGCAACUCGCCUGCAUGAAGCCGGAAUCGCUAGUAAUCGCGGAUCAGCACGCCGCGGUGAAUACGUUCCCGGGCCUUGUACACACCGCCCGUCACACCACGAAAGUUUGUAACACCCGAAGUCGGUGAGGUAACCUUUUGGAGCCAGCCGCCUAAGGUGGGAUAGAUGAUUGGGGUGAAGUCGUAACAAGGUAACCAAGGGCGAAUUCCAG
rnacentral:rRNA from 1 species